rnacentral:lncRNA from 1 species
GGACAAUAUAUUUUAACGCCCAGCUUUUGAAACAGCAAAAAAUUUACAAUCACUUUAUUAAAAUGAAUCUAAAUCAUUUGCUGUUACAAAUUAUGUCAUCCUAUUUAUUCAGCCUAUAAAUAUUUUUAAUCAUUUUAGAUUGGUUGCAGCCUAACAAAAUUGUGAAAAAGCAAUAUUGAAUAAUUCUAAUUUUUUUAAAUUUUAUUUCCGUUACAAAAUUUAGUGAAUAAAAAUGUUUUAUAUUUAUGAGUUUGCCAUGAUUGCUCUGAUUGAAUCAUGGCAAAAUAUUUAUUCAGUUCUAACUGUUUAUUAAAUAAGCUUGGGUCUUUAAGGCUUGACCUUGGUGAAUGCAGUAAAAAAUAUUUAAAUAAGAUCUUAUGUGUAAAACACUUCAAUGUGCCUUUUUUAUAUUUUUUUCUUUUUUAGGCCAACUCUCACGUGUUGGCGGAAAGUUACCAAAAUAUGUUAAGGACUUAAUUCAGAGAUAAUGUUGCUAAACGAUUUACAGUCGAUAAUCUUUCGAAAACUCUGGUUAGCAUCAAUUAGAAAGUUAGCGCAAUUUCUGGUAUUUGUGUGUCAAACAAAGAAUACGCGAAUUAUUUGAGAUAUGAUUGAAAUUUGCAAAGAAAGUAAAAAUCAAACUAGUUUCAUUCUAAGUUAUUGUAUAUAAUUUUAAAAUUUUGGAA